rnacentral:misc_RNA from 1 species
UUUCUGUAGGUGAACCUGCGGAAGGAUCAUUGUCGUGACCCUAACCAAAACAGACCGCUCACGCGUCAUCCAGUCUGUCGGCGAAGGCAUCGUCCGUCGCUUGGCCAAGUCCUCGACCUCCUGCCCUCCUCGUAGUGUGGGCUCGGGGUGAAAGAACCCAUGGCGCCAAAGGUGUCAAGGAACAGUGUGCCUAACCCGGGGGCAUUGCUAUCUUGCUAGUCGUCCCCCGUGUUGCAAUGCUAUUUAAUCCACAUGACUCUUGGCAACGGAUAUCUCGGCUCUC